AUGCACGCUGGCGGCGUGCCUCAUCCCUGCAAGUCGCGCGAACGGACGAGAAGCUUGCUUCUCUGAUGUUAGCGGCGGACGGGUGAGUAACACGUGGAUAACCUACCUAUAAGACUGGGAUAACUUCGGGAAACCGGAGCUAAUACCGGAUAAUAUUUUGAACCGCAUGGUUCAAAGGUAAAAGACGGUCUUGCUGUCACUUAUAGAUGGAUCCGCGCUGCAUUAGCUAGUUGGUAAGGUAACGGCUUACCAAGGCAACGAUGCAUAGCCGACCUGAGAGGGUGAUCGGCCACACUGGAACUGAGACACGGUCCAGACUCCUACGGGAGGCAGCAGUAGGGAAUCUUCCGCAAUGGGCGAAAGCCUGACGGAGCAACGCCGCGUGAGUGAUGAAGGUCUUCGGAUCGUAAAACUCUGUUAUUAGGGAAGAACAUAUGUGUAAGUAACUGUGCACAUCUUGACGGUACCUAAUCAGAAAGCCACGGCUAACUACGUG
rnacentral:rRNA from 1 species